CCUACGGGUGGCAGCAGUGGGGAAUAUUGCACAAUGGGGGCAACCCUGAUGCAGCAACGCCGCGUGCGUGAAGAAGGUUUUCGGAGUGUAAAGCUGUGUUAGCAGGGAGGAGGACGCACGGUACCUGCAGAGUAAGCCACUGCUAACUACGUGCCAGCAGCCGCGGUAAUACGUAGGUGGCAAGCGUUGUUCGGAAUAACUGGGUGUAAAGGAUGCGUAGGCGGUUAAACAAGUUAUAUGUUAAAUAUAUAGGCUUAACCUGUAUAAAGCAUAUAAAACUGUUCAACUAGAGUGCAGGAGAGGUAAGCGGAAUGCCUAGUGUAGCGGUGAAAUGCGUAGAGAUUAGGAAGAACACCAGUGGCGAAGGCGACUUACUGAACUGUAACUGACGCUGAGGCAUGAGAGCAUGGGGAGCAAACAGGAUUAGAUACCCGAGUAGUC
rnacentral:rRNA from 1 species